rnacentral:rRNA from 1 species
UAACGCGUGGGCAACCUGCCUUACACAGGGGGAUAACAAUUAGAAAUGAUUGCUAAUACCGCAUAAGACCCCAGUACCGCAUGGUACAGGGGUAAAAACUGAGGUGGUGUAAGAUGGGCCCGCGUCUGAUUAGGUAGUUGGUGGGGUAGAAGCCUACCAAGCCGACGAUCAGUAGCCGACCUGAGAGGGCGACCGGCCACAUUGGGACUGAGACACGGCCCAAACUCCUACGGGAGGCAGCAGUGGGGAAUAUUGCACAAUGGGGGAAACCCUGAUGCAGCGACGCCGCGUGAGUGAGGAAGUAUUUCGGUAUGUAAAGCUCUAUCAGCAGGGAAGAAAAUGACGGUACCUGACUAAGAAGCCCCGGCUAACUGCGUGCCAGCAGCCGCGGUAAUACGUAGGGGGCAAGCGUUAUCCGGAUUUACUGGGUGUAAAGGGAGCGUAGACGGAAUUGCAAGUCUGAUGUGAAAAUCCGGGGCCCAACCCCGGAACUGCAUUGGAAACUGUAUUUCUAGAGUGUCGGAGAGGCAAGUGGAAUUCCUGGUGUAGCGGUGAAAUGCGUAGAUAUCAGGAGGAACACCAGUGGCGAAGGCGGCUUGCUGGACGAUGACUGACGUUGAGGCUCGAAAGCGUGGGGAGCAAACAGGAUUAGAUACCCUGGUAGUCCACGCCGUAAACGAUGACUACUAGGUGU